rnacentral:lncRNA from 1 species
UCAUCACCCUCACUCUCCUUAUCAGACUUACCAUUCUCAUCACCCUCACUUUCCUUAUCAGACUUAUCAUUCUCAUCACCCUCCUGAUCAGAUCCAUCACUGCUGGCCGGACAUGGAGGAAGAAUAUUUCCUAAUUCAAAAGAAAAGUUAGUUGGGCCUGAAGCACUGCAUACCUCUUGUUCUCUACCUCCUUUGCUGCCGCAAUCUCAUCCUCUCUCUUCCUCUCUUUAUCUUCUCUCUUCUUCUCUCUUUCUUCUCUCUUCUUCUCUCAUUCGGCUACAGCAGCAAGCUCGGCAUUGAGAUAAGCUAUCUUACUCUCCAUUGCAGAUAUUGUCUCUCUAUCCCCGCCAUCAAAGCUUGAGGAUGAUGAACCACAAUACCAAGACUUCUUCUUCUGAUAUGCCUUUUCUGGAUAGCCAUAGACCGAACCUCUAAUCGGUUCACCAGCAC